GAUGAACGCUAGCGGCAGGCUUAAUACAUGCAAGUCGUGGGGCAGCAUGAGUGUAGCAAUACAUUUGAUGGCGACCGGCAAACGGGUGCGGAACACGUACACAACCUUCCUAUAAGUGGGGAAUAGCCCAGAGAAAUUUGGAUUAAUACCCCGUAACAUAACGAUGUGGCAUCACAUUGUUAUUAUAGCUUCGGCGCUUAUUGAUGGGUGUGCGGCUGAUUAGAUAGUUGGCGGGGUAACGGCCCACCAAGUCUACGAUCAGUAGCUGAUGUGAGAGCAUGAGCAGCCACAAGGGCAGUGAGACACGGGCCCGACUCCUACGGGAGGCAGCAGUAAGGAAUAUUGGUCAAUGGACGCAAGUCUGAACCAGCCAUGCCGCGUGAAGGAUUAAGGUCCUCUGGAUUGUAAACUUCUUUUAUCUGGGACGAAAAAAGGCUUUUCUAAGUCACUUGACGGUACCAGAUGAAUAAGCACCGGCUAACUCCGUGCCAGCCGCCGCAGUAACAC
rnacentral:rRNA from 1 species